ACCCGCACAAGCAGCGGAGCGUGUGGUUUAAUUCGUUGCUACACGAAGAACCUUACCUGGGUUUGACAUAUAGGUUGUAGGGAACUGAAAAGGACCGACCCUUCGGGAGCCUAUACAGGUGUUGCAUGGCUGUCGUCAGCUCGUGUCGUGAGAUGUUCGGUUAAGUCCGCUAACGAGCGCAACCCUCGUCGUAUGUUAUAUGUGUCAUACGAGACUGCCGGUAAAAAGCCGGAGGAAGGUGAGGAUGAUGUCAAGUCAGCAUGACCUUUAUAUCCAGGGCUACACACACGCUACAAUGGUCUGUACAAUGGGUAGCCAAGCCGCGAGGCGGAGCCAAUCCUGAAAGCAGGCCUCAGUUCAGAUUGCAGUCUGCAACUCGACUGCAUGAAGCCGGAGUUGCUAGUAACCGCAGGUCAGCAAUACUGCGGUGAAUACGUUCCCGGGUCUU
rnacentral:rRNA from 1 species